GAUCAUAGCUCAGAUUGAACGCUGGCGGCGUGCUUAACACAUGCAAGUCGUACGCGAAAGGGACUUCGGUCCCGAGUAAAGUGGCGCACGGGUGAGUAACACGUGGAUAAUCUGCCUCUAUGAUGGGGAUAACAGUUGGAAACGACUGCUAAUACCGAAUACGCUCAUGAUGAACUUUGUGAGGAAAGGUGGCCUCUGCUUGCAAGCUAUCGCAUAGAGAUGAGUCCG
rnacentral:rRNA from 1 species